GUCUGCAUCAAAGGAAUCAAACAGUCCUGAUGUAAACUGAGAUAGCAAGAACGCCUAGAUAUUCUCAAGAUGGAACCUGACACGAAUGAGGUAUUAAUUGCUGACAAAGCGCUGAUUGUGAUCUUCAUUCUUCUAAUAUGUUUGAUCAACGGGGCACUCAUCGUCACCCAAGUCAAGAAACCAAUGUUUUAUCAGAGCGUCAAGCUAAUGAUGAUUAUAUCCUUGGCUAUAGGAGACAUCAUCUUUGCCCUCUUCCCGUUAGUAGUGCUUGCUAGAGGAUUUUUUGAGGCAAAUCCAACCUUCAUGACCUGCAGGUUAAGCACAAAUACCACAACCUACAUGUCAUUCUUGAUUCAUUUCGUCUACGGACUUGGUCUUGUGGUACUGGCAGCUGAAGUCUUCCUCAGAAACAGGAUUCAAAGUAUACAC
rnacentral:sRNA from 1 species